UACAAAUAAAUAGCCAAAGAAUAUAAUUUUAGAGCCUAUAAUUUAAUAAUCUUCUAGCCCAAUAUCCGAUAUGGUUUAACUCAAUUAUACUCAAAUCUUUUGUCCAAAUCUCUUCCCUGAGAAUUAGGAGGAUUUAACCAUGUAUAUAUAGAUGCAUCCCCACGAUUUCACUUUUCAUUCACAUUUAAAUCUGAGAGAGAGAAAACAGAAGAGCAGGGAGAAAGCUGUGGGCAGAGACCAAGAUUUUUCGCUGCUUUGCAGGGUUUUCUUUCGCAAGCGAGCUAAGGCGGAGUGAGAAUUUUCAAGUUAAGAAUUUGUAAGAGAACGAGGUUGAGCUGUGACGAGCGCGGUGGGUGUUGAGCAAGGUUGUUGAAGAAAUUUCAUGUUCAGAAUGUGUCAUGUCUUCACACGUGGCAUAUUCCUUCUCUCGAAUGCUUCCGCUGAGUAGUUGUCUUCCUUUUGAGUUCUUGUAUUGCGGAGAUAAUAUUCUUUUGAGUUGUUGACUAUUGAGAUACUCUAAUUUUAUUCGAGCUAUCCCCAUU